GUACCCGUGGCUGAGCGGUCGAAAGCGAUGGACUCAUAAUCCAUUCUCUUAUAAGCAUCAGUGGUUCGAACCCACUCGGGUACA
rfam:Vitrella brassicaformis CCMP3155 genome assembly, contig: scaffold380